AUUUAUCCACCUGGCGCGCCGCACCAUGCCUUCUAUUGCUAUUUUCUAUUAAAAUUUGAGAAAUCGUGGAGCUCAAGUACACCCCAAUAAUUGUAAAAUGCACCCUCACCGCGACGCACCACUAUCGCGGUGAGCCACUGGAUUGGGACAAUUUUGAAAUAAUUAUCCUCCGCGAUGCGCUAAACCUUCAGGUCACCAAAUCUGAUAAAC
rnacentral:lncRNA from 1 species